rnacentral:ncRNA from 1 species
GUGUUGUAUGAAAGGAGAGAAGGUUAGCGCUCCCCUUGACAAGGAUGGAAGAGGCUCUCGGGCCUGACAAUAUGCAUACGGUUAAGACAUUGCCACCUAUUUCGUGGCAUCUAACCACUGUUUUUU